GAUGAACGCUGGCGGCGUGCCUAAUACAUGCAAGUCGAGCGAACAGACGAGGAGCUUGCUCCUCUGACGUUAGCGGCGGACGGGUGAGUAACACGUGGAUAACCUACCUAUAAGACUGGGAUAACUUCGGGAAACCGGAGCUAAUACCGGAUAAUAUCUUGAACCGCAUGGUUCAAUAGUGAAAGACGGUUUUGCUGUCACUUCUAGAUGGAUCCGCGCCGCAUUAGCUAGUUGGUAAGGUAACGGCUUACCAAGGCAACGAUGCGUAGCCGACCUGAGAGGGUGAUCGGCCACACUGGAACUGAGACACGGUCCAGACUCCUACGGGAGGCAGCAGUAGGGAAUCUUCCGCAAUGGGCGAAAGCGUGACGGAGCAACGCCGCGUGAGUGAUGAAGGUCUUCGGAUCGUAAAACUCUUUUAGUAGUGAAGAACAAAUGUGUAAGUAGCUAUGCACGUCUUGACGGUACCUAAACAGAAAGCCACGGCUAACUACGUG
rnacentral:rRNA from 1 species